AUUCCAGCUCCAAUAGCGUAUAUUAAAGUUGUUGCAGUUAAAAAGCUCGUAUUUGAAUUUUUGUCUGUUGGGGCCUUGUUCUGUCCUUAGUGGCGGAGUUUAGUGUCCCGACGGACUUCCUGGGGGCCAACUAGUUGGUGUUUCAUUACACUGAUUAGGGAACCCCCUCGUUUACUGUGAAAAAAUUAGAGUGUUUCAAGCAGGCGUUUCGCAUUGAAUACAUUAGCAUGGAAUAAUAAGAUAGGACUUUGGUGCUAUUUUGUUGGUUUGCACACCAAGGUAAUGAUUAACAGGGACAGUCAGGGGCACUCGUAUUCCGCCGAGAGAGGUGGAAUUCUCAGACCAGCGGAAGACGAACCACUGCGAAAGCAUUUGCCAGGGAUGUUUUCAUCA
rnacentral:rRNA from 1 species